AAGCCUUUUCCGCUUCAUUAGCAGAUGUGUCAAAAGUACUCACGCUGUACCAGGGGCGUGGGGGGCGGGGGAGGGGUGUCAAUGAGUCAGGGGGCAUCCUCAGCACAGAAUUUACCGUAUCUUCUCAAAUAAGGAGGCGGGCCCAGGGAACAUGUUGGGAUUUUGGUAAACUAGUGUUAGGGUUUAAACUAGGUUACGGGUUUCAAAGUAGUGCUUUAAAAUAGGGUUAGUUAGGGUUAUAAAGUAGGGGUUUAAACUAGGUUUAGGGUUUAAAACUAGGGUUAGGAUUUCAAAGUAGGACGUUAAACUAGGGUUCAAAUUAGGGUUUGAAACUAGGCUUGGGGUUAAAAAAUAGGAUUUGAAGCUCAAUUUAGGGUUUGAAACUAGGUUACGGGUUUCAAAGUAGUGCUUUAAAAUAGGGUUAGUUAGGGUUAUAAAGUAGGGGUUUAAACUAGGUUUAGGGUUUAAAACUAGGGUUAGGAUUUCAAAGUAGGACGUUAAACUAGGGUUCAAAUUAGGGUUUGAAACUAGGCUUGGGGUUAAAAAAUAGGAUUUGAAGCUAAAUUUAGGGUUUGAAACUAGGUUGAGGGUUUCAGAUCUGCGUUUCAAACUAGGUUUGAGAUUACAAAUUAGGGCUUUAAACUCGGUUAAGGUUUUCAAAGUAGGAUUUCAAAUUAGGGUUCAGUUUUGCAGUAGCAUUUCAGACUAAAGUUAGGGUUUCAAAUUGGGGUUUCAAAUUGGGUUUAGGGUUUUUAACAGGGUUAGGAUUUCAAAGUAAGGUUUUAAGAUGGUGUUAGGGUUUCAGGAUAGGGUUUUAAACUAGGGUUAUGUUUUUCAAAGUAGGGUUAUUAACAUGGGUAAUAUUUCAAACUAGGGUUGGGGUUUCAAAGUAGGGUUAGGGUUUCAGAGUUAGGGUUGAAAGUAGGAUUUUAAACGUGGGUCUGGUUAAAAGUUUAAUGUCAUAAAAAUAAAUACUCAAGUGAUCUCCAGGUAGGUGAAAAAUCUACUCAA